rnacentral:rRNA from 1 species
UACGUAGGGAGCAAGCGUUGUCCGGAAUCAUUGGGCGUAAAGCGCGCGUAGGUGGCCACAUAAGUCCGUUGUGAAAGUCAAAGGCUCAACCUUUGAAAGCCGAUGGAUACUGUGUGGCUAGAGUACGGAAGAGGCGAGUGGAAUUCCUGGUGUAGCGGUGAAAUGCGCAGAUAUCAGGAGGAACACCAAUGGCGAAGGCAGCUCGCUGGGACGGUACUGACGCUGAGGCGCGAAAGCGUGGGGAGCAAACAGG